rnacentral:rRNA from 1 species
UGGGUACGAGACGCUAAGGCGUCGAAGUAGUGGAUGUCAUACUUCCAAGAAAAGCUUGCACUGUCAUAAAUAAAGAACGCCUGUACCAUAACCGACACAGGUGGGUAGGUAGAGUAUACUAAGGGGCGCGAGAUAACUCUCUCUAAGGAACUCGGCAAAAUAACUCCGUAACUUCGGGAGAAGGAGUGCCUUAUUCGUAAGGCUGCAAUAACAAGAUCCAAGCAACUGUUUAUCAAAAGCACAGGUCUCCGCUAAGUCGUAAGACGAUGUAUGGGGGCUGACGCCUGCCCAGUGCCAGAAGGUUAAAGAAGUCGGUUAGCAUUAGCGAAGCUGGUAACUGAAGCCCUGGUGAACGGCGGCCGUAACAAUAACGGUCCUAAGGUAGCGAAAUUCCUUGUCGGGUAAGUUCCGACCCGCACGAAAGGCGUAAUGAUUUGGAUACUGUCUCGGAGAGGGGCUCGGUGAAAUAGACUUGUCUGUGAAGAUGCGGACUACCUGCACCAGGACAGAAAGACCCUAUGAAGCUUUACUGUAACUUGAAAUUGAAAUUGGACUUUAUUCGCGCAGUAUAGGUGGGAGGUGUUGAUUAUAAUCUUGCGGGAUUAUUGGAGCCAUCAGUGAGAUACCACUCUUGUAAUGUUAGAUUUCUAACUUUGAAUCAUUAUCUGGUCAAAGAACAGUUUCAGGCGGGCAGUUUGACUGGGGCGGUCGCCUCCUAAAUGGUAACGGAGGCGUACAAAGGUUUCCUCUGAACGGGUAGAAAUCGUAUCUAGAGUUUAAAGGCAUAAGGAAGCUUGACUGUGAGACCUACAAGUCGAGCAGGGACGAAAGUCGGUCUUAGUGAUCUGACGGUACUGAGUGGAAAGGCCGUCACUCAACGGAUAAAAGUUACUCUAAGGAUAACAGGCUGAUCUCCCCCAAGAGUUCACAUCGACGGGGAGGUUUGGCACCUGGAUGUCGGCUCAUCGCAUCCUGGGGCGGUAGUACGUCCCAAGGGUUGGGCUGUUCGCCCAUGAAAGCGGUACGCGAGCUGGGUUCAGAACGUCGUGAGACAGUUCGGUCCAUAUCCGGUGUAGGCGUUAGAAUAUUGAGAGGAGCCUUCUUUAGUACGAGAGGACCGAGAAGGACAUACCUCUGGUGUACCAGUUAUCGUGCCAACGGUAAACGCUGGGUAGCUAUGUAUGGAGUGGAUAACCGCUGAAAGCAUCUAAGUGGGAAGCCCACCUCAAGAUAAG